CCUACGGGUGGCUGCAGUGAGGAAUAUUGGUCAAUGGGCGCGAGCCUGAACCAGCCAAGUAGCGUGAAGGAUGACUGCCCUACGGGUUGUAAACUUCUUUUAUAAAGGAAUAAAGUGUGGCACGUGUGCCUUUUUGCAUGUCCUUUAUGAAUAAGGAUCGGCUAACUCCGUGCCAGCAGCCGCGGUAAUACGGAGGAUCCGAGCGUUAUCCGGAUUUAUUGGGUUUAAAGGGAGCGUAGAUGGGUUGUUAAGUCAGUUGUGAAAGUUUGCGGCUCAACCGUAAAAUUGCAGUUGAUACUGGCAGCCUUGAGUACAGUAGAGGUAGGCGGAAUUCGUGGUGUAGCGGUGAAAUGCUUAGAUAUGACGAAGAACUCCGAUGGCGAAGGCAGCCUACUGGACUGCCACUGACGCUGAGGCGCGAAAGUGUGGGUAUCAAACAGGAUUAGAUACCCGGGUAGUC
rnacentral:rRNA from 1 species